rnacentral:rRNA from 1 species
GUACACGUGGAUAACCUGCCCUAAGGAAGGGGAUACCCCCGGGAAACUGGGGAUAAUACCCUAUAGGUUACAGAUGCUGGAAUGCUCUGUACCCGAAAGUUCCGGCGCCUUAGGAUGGAUCUGCGGCCGAUUAGGUUGUUGUCGGGGUAACGGCCCAACAAGCCAGUAAUCGGUACGGGUUGUGGGAGCAAGAGCCCGGAGUUGGAUUCUGAGACACGAAUCCAGGCCCUACGGGGCGCAGCAGGCGCGAAAACUUUACAAUGCGGGCAACCGUGAUAAGGGAACCUCGAGUGCCUGUAUAUGCAGGCUGUCUGGGUGUCUAAAACACACCUAAAGAAAGGGCCGGGCAAGACCGGUGCCAGCCGCCGCGGUAAUACCGGCGGCUCGAGUGGUGGCCACUUUUAUUGGGCUUAAAGCGUUCGUAGCUGGGUUAUUAAGUCCCUUGGGAAAUCCGACGGCUUAACCGUCGGGCGUCUAAGGGAUACUGGCAAUCUUGGAACCGGGAGAGGUGAGGGGUACUUCGGGGGUAGGAGUGAAAUCCUGUAAUCCUCGAGGGACCACCUGUGGCGA